rnacentral:rRNA from 1 species
GACGAACGCUGGCGGCGUGCUUAACACAUGCAAGUCGAACGGAAAGGCCCUGCUUUUGCGGGGUGCUCGAGUGGCGAACGGGGGAGUAACACGUGAGUAACCCGCCCUUGACUUUGGGAUAACUUCAGGAAACUGGGGCUAAUACAGGGUAGGAGCUACUGCUGCAUGGUGGGGGUUGGAAAAUUUCGGCGGUUGGGGAUGGAAUCGCGGCUUAUCAGCUUGUUGGGGGGGUAGUGGCUUACCAAGGCUUUGACGGGUAGCCGGCCUGGGAGGGUGACCGGCCACAUUGGGCCUGGGAUACGGCCCAGACUCCUACGGGCGGCAGCGGUGGGGACUAUUGCACAAUGGGCCGAAGCCUGGUGCAGCGUCGCCGCGUGCGAGAUGACGGCCUUCGGGUUGUAACCCGCUUUCGCCUGUGACGACGCGUGAGUGCCGGUAAUGGGUAAAGAGGCACCGCCUAACUCCGU